rnacentral:ncRNA from 1 species
UUUAGUAAGAAUUUAAUUUUGGUUCCGAUUGAACGUUAUUCAGUAGUUUUAAGACAUGCAAAUCAUUAUUUCUGAUAGUAAAUUUUAGAUUUAUUCUAAGAAAUAAGGUGUAGAGGUGAGUAUAGUAAAUAAGAUACCCUAUUAGUCUUCAGAAAUAGAAGAUAAUAAAGGAAAUUUUCUGCUUUAGGAUUCUAUUUACUUUGAUUAUGAUAGUUGGUAGAGGUAAUGGCCUACCAAGUCUUCAAUCAAAAGCCAAGUUUGACAGAACAUAUGGCCACAUUGGGAGUGUAAUACCCCAAGUAAUAUAAAAUUACCUGCAGUCAAGAAUAUUAGUCAAUGCUCGCAAGAGUGAACUAGCUAACUGAAAUCUUAAUAAAUAUUAAGAUAAGGUAAGAGAAAAUAAUGAUAAUAUCUUACUAUUAGUGUCGUCUAAAUUUGGUGCCAGAAGACUCGGUAAGACCUUAGACGCAAACGUUAAUCGUCAUAAUCAGGCGUAAAGGGUGUGUAGGCGGUUUAAAUUUUAAAAUUAAACUAGAAUCUAAAAGAGGAUAAGCUAAACAACAUAAUUAAUUAGGACUGACAACUUAUAAUAAUGUGGAGUACUAAAGGUUAAAGCUAUUUAUCUACUUAAGAUUGACGCUCAGAAACGAAGGGGAGAAUAAGAAACUUAGAUUAGAGACCUAAUUAUCUCUCUCAGUCAACGAUGAAUGGUAGUUAUUAAAAAUAAAUUAAUAUAAUUAGUAACGAGGUUAACACGAUGACCAUUCCGCCUUGUUAGUAAGACUGCAAAGUUGAAAACAAAAAAAUUAGUCGGUCUUGAAGCAAACGAAGUGAAGCAUGUUAUUUAAUACGAUAAUCCGCGUAAAAUCUUACCAGUUCUUGUAUAUUCUUAUAAAAAAAUAAUUUAAUUUUAAAUUAUUCAUUGUAAGAAUACAGGUGUUGCAUGGCUGUCGUCAGUCCGUGUCGUGAGAAGUUUGGUUAAAUCCGUAAACGGACGAAAUCCCUAGUAUUAAUUUAUACAUAAUACAUAAUAGUGUUGAUAAGAUGCUAAUUGGGGCUAAGACAAGUCAUUAUGGCCCUCAUGAACUGGGCUAUAGACGUGCCACAAAAACUUUUACAAAGUGAUGCAAUUCUGUCCUUAAAUAAAUUAAAAUUUAAUUUAUGAAAAUAAAGGAAAUAGGAGGAGCUAAUCAAUAAAGAAAGUUAACUAUUAAAUUAGUUGAAUUGUCAUCUGAAACUCGGUGACAUGAAAAAGGAAUUUCGAGUAAUCGUUGAUCAUUACGCAACGGUGAAUUAAGCAUUCAGGAUGAACUAACCGUCUGUCGCUGGGAAGAAGCUUGAUUUUAAGGAAGAUGUGUAUUGUUCUUAUUUUCUUAUUUUCAAUUUUAAAUGGAAAGUAUAAAUUAAUAUUUAUAUGAGUAUUAGUUUAAGAUUAUAUUAUUACUCAAUAGUAAUAUAUAUAAUAUAGAGAAUCAAAUUUGAUCUAUAAACGUGAUUGUCAAGAAAAACUGAACCCAACGAAUUAAAUUGAGUAACAUCUCAAAAGUCAUAGCAAGGUAGCCGUACUGGAAGGUGCUGCUGAAAAAUAAAACGA